AUCUCAGGUUCGUCAGCC
rnacentral:miRNA from 1 species